GACGAACGCUGGCGGCGUGCUUAACACAUGCAAGUCGAACGGAAAGGCCCUGCUUUUGUGGGGUGCUCGAUUGGCGAACGGGUGAGUAACACGUGAGUAACCUGCCCUUGACUUUGGGAUAACUUCAGGAAACUGGGGCUAAUACCGGAUAGGAGCUCCUGCUGCAUGGUGGGGGUUGGAAAGUUUCGGCGGUUGGGGCUGGACUCGCGGCUUAUCAGCUUGUUGGUGGGGUAGUGGCUUACCAAGGCUUUGACGGGUAGCCGGCCUGAGAGGGUUACCGGCGACAUUGGGACUGAGAUACGGCCCAGAAUCCUACGGGAGGCAGCAGUGGGGAAUAUUGCACAAUGGGCGGAAGCCUGAUGCAGAAACGCCGCGUGCGGGAUGACGGCCUUCGGGUUGUAAACCGAUUUCGCAUGUGACGAAGCGUGAGUGACGGUAAUGGGUAAAGAAGCACCGGCUAACUACGUG
rnacentral:rRNA from 1 species